GUGGUGAUCCUCUAUGAUAUAAAACUGGAAAUUUGUGGUGAUCCUCUAUGAUAUAAAACUGGAAAUUGGUGGUGAUCCUCCAUGAUAUAAAACUGGAAAUUUGUGGUGAUCCUCCAUGAUAUAAAACUGGAAUUGGUGUUGAUCCUCUAUGAUAUAAAACUGGAAUUGAUAUUGAUAUUGUUGAGUUAUUGUUUUUUUUUAUAAUCGUGCUCGUUGUGUGUUUGAUCGUACAAAGAUGAUUUAUGUUUUGACUAUUUUCUUGUGUCAUUUUAAGUUCAG
rnacentral:lncRNA from 1 species